rnacentral:lncRNA from 1 species
UUAUUACACUCUAGCUUCUCUAGGCCUAUCUUAACUCUUUUUGUUCUUACACUCAUCAUCAAGCAUCCACACAUUCAAAUCAACCAACUCUCACAUUCAUUAAGCACAAAACAUCAGGUGAAUUCUUGCAAAUGGUCAGUUGGUCCAAGUCAUUUGGUUGGGUAAGGGAAGGCUUUUAUUCAAGUGAUUCAAGAGGUUCAAAACAUAUGAUCUUUAAGGUGGUUUACUCUCAAAACAAGUAGCCUUGACAUUGCACAUAAUAUAUCUAAGAAAGGGACCAACUCAUGCAUACAAUGCUCAAUCUCCAUUGUUCUACCCUUUUCCCAAACAUACAAUUACACAAUCAUUCCCAAAUGUCAAACCCAACUCACAUCUCUCACCAAAAGAUCUUAAGAACUUUAACUCUUUCUUUUUGAAAUCUACAAGGGAUUUUUCUACAACCUCAAAAUAUUUCUUAGCUCCUAACAACUUUGCUAGCCCCCUUUUCUUUCUUUUUUUUUUUUUUUUCGAUUUCUUUUUUUUUAUAUAUAUUUUUUUUUUAGGUUGGGGGCCAAGACUUUUCAAAACUAGAGCUAGAGGUUCUCUACUUAUCCCAGAAAAUCAAUUCACUUAAGCACAAAGAGUCUAUCCUUUUUAUUUUUCAUUUCUCCCAAAUCAUGAUCACAACACUCACCCUCCCACCUAUAGCUAGACAAAAGAGUGUCCAAUCUAGCAAAAAUGAAGAUCAAGCAUUGUCGUUCCCGAUACUCUCAACAUUAUGCGCAUGUAAGACUUUCCGAAGAAGGCCUCACUCAUCAAACAAUGAAAGCUUAAAAGGAAGGAAAGGUUUUGGGAGUGGUCUAUCACUAGAGUUUGUCAAAAAGAUUGGCAUAAAAGAUGUGACAACUCCAGUGUGUAUAGCCAUGACUUAGUACACAAGGGACCCUAAGCAAGAAGCAUUAAGUUCAUUCAUUUCUAAUAAAGUUGUAGUUGGCUUCAAAGACUGAGUUUCAGCAAUCAACAAGUUUCAGGAAGAGUUUUCAAGGCUCGAAACAUACAAGUCUUUUUGAGAGGUGCAAAAGCUAGUCAAGUGCAACGUAGUGUUCUUUACAAGGCAUUCAAAUCAUUUCUCCCAAUGCAAAUGAAU